UACGGAGGGUGCGAGCGUUGUCCGGAAUCAUUGGGCGUAAAGGGCGCGUAGGUGGCCUGCUAAGCGUGCGGUGAAAGCUCGGGGCUCAACCCCGAGUCGGCCGUGCGAACUGGUGGGCUUGAGCACUGUAGAGGCAGGCGGAAUUCCGGGUGUAGCGGUGGAAUGCGUAGAGAUCCGGAAGAACACCGGUGGCGAAGGCGGCCUGCUGGGCAGUAGCUGACACUGAGGCGCGACAGCGUGGGGAGCGAACAGG
rnacentral:rRNA from 1 species